CAAAAUUAAAAUUCAACCUAUUCUAAGAAUUUAAAUGCAAAAAGUAAAAGAAGAAAAUCUAGGUUGCCUCCUAGUAGCGCUUGUUUAACGUCACGAGCCUGACCCAAACUUGUUUGGCACUUGUCAGUAAGUGCACUUCCUUCCACCACCCAUCAGUAGGUGUACCUUCCGGAUAUCCUUCAGUGGAUACCAAAAAUUUUAGCAUCCCUCAAUAGAUGCUACCCAACAAUUGUUCCACAAAUUCAAAAAGUACAUGUUCCAACGAAAAUAAAAAAAUGCAAAUAACUAAAAAAAUGAAAAUUGUUUUUAAAAAUAUAAAAAUUGAUUUCCAGCAAGUUCAACUCUUCUUCUUCACGUUGGGAUCUUCAUUGUCCCACCGGCUCACUUUCCUUCGAUCCACCUUCUUGAUCACUGUGGAAUAUGGUCUUUGAAUUUCCACCAUUCCUUUUUCCUUCAGCUCCUUUACUAUCCAUUCCUUUUUCUUAAAUCUGACUUUGUUCCCCGGUUGGAGUGGAUCUUCUUUUGAUUCUGGGUGAAUGGUUUUUCUCCUUUUAUCCUCAGGCACCUGCAAAAUACAACAGUUGUCAUAAUAAUCAGUACCUACUAUGCUCUCUUCUUAUUCUUCGUUCAUCUCUGGCUUCUCAAAUGUGUUUCUUUUUACUGUUUUGAUCUCAUCGCCUUCACGACCAGUAUAAAGAAAUAGAUAAAUCAAAUCCCUCAUCAUUAUCCUUCCAUCAUGAACAUCAAUAAACAUCUUUGAUGUUGCCAUAAAGGGUCGCCCCAAAAUCACAAGAUACUCCUCCUCCGUUUUAACAUCCAUGACAAUGAAAUCUGCUAAGAACUCAAGUCGGUCUACUCGCACAACAACAUUUUCCACCAUUCCCACUGGCGCUUUUGUAGAACCAUCUGCCAUUGUUAUAGUCAAGUCAGAUGGUUUUAACACAAGCCCACUAAUUUCCUUCAAAAGUUCUGUGGGUAUUAAAUUGAUACUAGAUCCAUAAUCUAUCAUAGCUUCCACAUCCAAAUCAUUCAGAGCACAUGACAGUGUUAAGCACCCCGGAUCUUUAGCCUUAGGAGGAUAAUUACUCUUUUGUGGUUGAACAACAAGAUCCUCUUCUCAUUAGUAAGCUCAAUUUCGACAAGAUCCUCUUCUUCAUCAGUAAGCUCAAUUUCAUCAUCAAUGUUGAUUUUGAUUCUUUCUGAAUAGGGAGGGAGCUGCUGAUUUCCUAAAGGUAACACAGUCAUCCGGUUGAAAAUCUCUCUAAAUCCCCCAUUAUGAUUGCAACUAGUUCCUAUUUCCUCUUUUCCUCCACCAACCUCUUCUUCGUUAAAAUUUUCAUCUUCUUCAUUUUCACUGCUCAUGGGUUCAAAUAAUUCAACCAUCAACAUUUCCUCCUCUUCACUAUUCACCACAUGGAACGGUUCACAAUCUGCUUCCCAACAAUCCUAGCUCGUAAUAAUCUUGCAUUAUGAACAAAAGCUUUAUGAGAACUUCUCUCUGACACACAGUGUUCUACUUUUCUUUUUCAGUUCAAAAACGUUGCUUCUGAAGAUUUGAAAAACCAAAUAUAUAGCCAAGUACAUUGAAUGCCAAAGGUCAGCUCCCAACUGCCAUGAAUAAUCGAUUAUUGUAAGUGAUAAUUGAUUAUUCAAGUCCGUUACAGAUUUUUCAAAAAGUAAUAAUCGAUUAUAUGAAGUGAUAAUCGAUUAUUCAAGUAUGACUUGUGAUAAUCGAUUAUUGCUUCAUGAUAAUCGAUUAUUCUAGUACAAAAAACAUGUGAUAAUCGAUUAUAGAAGAUUUGUGAAAGAUUUCUCCACCAUAGCUGCCCCUUUGAAUGAAUUGGUCAAAAAGGAUGUUCCUUUUAUUUGGGGUGACAAACAAGCCAUAUCUUUUGAGACCUUGAAAAAUAAGUUAACUCAUGCACCCAUUCUAGCCUUGCCUGACUUUUCCAAAGCUUUUGAACUAGAAUGUGAUGCAUCUGGGGUAGGAAUAGGAGCUGUCUUAAUUCAAGAAGGUCAUCCAGUGGCAUACUUUAGUGAAAAACUUAGGGGACCUACCUUAAACUAUCCUACCUAUGAUAAGGAAUUAUAUGCCCUCAUUAGAGCUUUAAAGACUUGGGAGCAUUACUUGGUAACUCGAGAAUUUAUUAUACAUACUGACCAUGAAUCUCUCAAGUAUCUUAAAGGGCAAGGAAAGCUAAACAAAAGACAUGCCAAGUGGGUGGAAUACCUGUAGCAAUUUCCAUAUGUCAUCAAACACAAGAAGGGGAGUAAUGUUGUUGCGGAUGCUUUAUCUAGAAGACAUGCAUUAUUAGUAACACUAGGCUCUCAAAUAUUAGGAUUUGAUGAUAUAAGAGAGUUAUAUGAAAGUGAUUAAACAUUUGCAUCCACUUAUGCAUCAUGUCUUAAGAAGCCUUUUGAUGGAUUCUAUCUUUCUAAGGGGUAUCUUUUUAAUAAAGGAAAACUUUGUAUACCCCAAGGAUCCAUUAGAAAACUUCUUAUCAAAGAAAGUCAUGGAGGAGGACUCAUGGGCCAUCAUGGAGUUGAUAAGACUCUAAACAUUUUGAAAAAUAAAUUCUAUUGGCCACACAUGAGAGUAGAUGUUCAAAGGCAUUGUUCUAAAUGCAUAGCUUGUUUACAAGCUAAGUCAAAAAUUAUGCCUCAAGGACUCUAUACACCUCUUCCAAUAGCUAGUACCCCAUGGGAGGACAUAAGCAUGGAUUUUGUUCUAGGAUUGCCAAGAACUAAAAAGGGGUAUGAUUCUAUAUUUGUGGUGGUAGAUCGGUUUAGUAAUAUGGCACACUUUAUACCUUGCCACAAAGUAGAUGAUGCUAGUUAUAUCUCUAGACUCUUCUUUAAAGAAAUAGUGAGAUUGCAUGGUUUACCCAAAACCAUAGUGUCUGAUAGAGAUCUCUUCUGAACGUGCUACAACAGCGUGGGAAUUGCUGGAGGAAAACUGGCGCAUUUCUUCUGAAUUUCAUUUGAAUUUAAGAAGCAUUUUGAUUUUAGAAAAGAGGCCCAUCUUUCCCUAUAAAUAAGAGGGCCUCUCCUUUGUAUGAGUCACUUUAGAGCUUGAAUGUUAUGCUGCAAAAAUGAAUUUCCAGCUUGCUUUGCUCUUGAGUCACCAAUUCUCUUCACUUUCUCUACCCUUUCCUCUAGCUUCCUUCCAUAGUGGGAAGGCCUUCUGAGCUGAGGAGAUAACCCACACACUCCUACCAUUUCCAAAACAGAAACACCAUUGCACUUAUCCAUAUCCACUGCAUCAACAACAUUAUCCGCUGCAUCACUCUGUUCGAAGUUUACUUGCUAUUUGGGAUUGCUACACAUUGAUUCCAGACCUUGGCUAGCUUCCAUCAUGAAGGAGAUAACAGAAAACACAAAGAAAAAAAAUUCAAAGAUGGAGUUCAUAGGAGAAAUUUUUUGAAUGGAUGUCUACUUAAAAUAAUUACUAUUGACGUCAAAGCCAAUUUAAAUUGACAUUUUUUUGGUUGAUUUAAAAGAAAAAUAAAACAAUAACUACUUGUUGUAAUAUACAACGUCCAUUUUUUGUUAUUGUAACAUCAUAUUAUUUAAAAUAGAAUUUUGUAUUUAUUUAUUUUGUAUUGAACGUCAAUUGUUUCCUUAACUAAAGUUAUGUGAUUACCUAGGUUUCGUACACCAAGGACCAUCACGUCAGACCCCAAAUUGUUCGACGUUCUACAUUGGUAUAAACGUUGAAACCAUAAAGUGGGCGACGUUCUAUAAAGAAUAAAGAAAAAACGGAUUCACUCUCUGUCAUAUAAACGUCGAAUAUUUAGCAUGGUGAACGUCAAAUGUGGGUAGAGUGAUAUUGUUGGAAGCAAACUACUAUUUCGUUAUUUUUUUAUUUUAAAUUGAACGUCAGUUGUUUCUCAAAAUGAUGUUAAGUGUUUUGUUUCUAAGGUCAUUGUUUUAUGUCACCCAAUAGACGUCGGUUCGAGGGAAGCCCGACAUAUAUGAGUGGACGGUGGCAUUACCGUAAAUAAGUUGGUAACCUGACCUCUUUCAAGGGAAGGCGACGUCUAUGAUAUUGUAGACGUCUGCUCUGCCGUAAAUCGACGUCUAAUGGCCUGAGAUAGGCGAGAAGACAGUCUAUUGACGUCGGUUUUAAUGGGAGGCCGACGUUUACUGGGUUGCAAUUAAUGCUCUUCACCUGAUUCUCAGGCGCUUAGACGUCAUGUAGUCAAAAAGCGACGUCUAUGGCCUAUCCAGAAGGCGGGAAGACAAAAAUUUCUACAAUUUAGACGUCAGUGUUUAAGGGGAGGGACGUUUAUGUGCUUGUAAUUAAUUAUGUUCACCAAACUCGGAGGCCCUUACACGUCCGUCAAAAGGGCACCGACGUCUAAAUUAUUAUAGACGUCGGCGCCCUUUCACAACUGUCGUCAACUUCCCUAACAGGAAAUGAAACGUUAAUCGGUUCAGCAUCCUAGACGUCGGCUCCCCUUAAACCGACUUCUAAAGGGCAUUCAAAAUACAGUUUAUAUGUUAACUUGGUCGUCGAAUUAGUUAGAUAACCGACGUCUAGUUAACUAUAGACGUCGGUUUCUGGAGCAAGCGACGCCCCUUUUCAUUUUAAAUAAACCGCAGACUCUUCGCGGCAUUGUAGUUUCUAAUAUCAUCGUCUUCCUCCUCUCCUUUUUCUCUUGCGGCACCUCUCAUUUUUCUCUCUUGCGGCACUGCAUUAUUGUUUCUAAUAACAUCAUCGUCUUUCUCCUCUCCUUUUUCUCCUUGCGACAUUGCAUCCUAGGUGCGUGUUUUUUUAUUGUUAUCGUUUAACCUUUGUUCAGUCUUUCAUCGAUUAUUUUCUGGUUCAACUGAUUAAACUUUGUUUUCUUUGUGUUGUGUUUUAGUGCAGUUUUGUUCCUUUCUCUGGGUAACAUAGUACCACAUUCUUCCUUUGCUAGCUGCCUCCCAGAAAAAGCGGCGUCUUUUGGAUUUCUAGUGGCGUUUCGACCCAAAAAUGACCCUGGGUCAUUGCCUAGUUAUCGUUUCACCGUAAUUUUUCUCUCUUGCGGUUGAAAAUGGAACUAAGCAAGAACCCAGGUUCGGUUUUCAGUCGAAAUGUCAUGAGAAAUUCAAAAGACCCAAGCUUUUUUUGGGGGAAACUAGCAAAGGCAGAGUGUGCUACUAGGCUAUCCAAAGACAGGAACAAAACUGCACUAAAACACAACGAAUGUAUUAGACGUCGGUUAAUGCAAAAACAAACGUUUAUAGUGACCUUAGACGUCGGUUAGUGACAUGUUCGAAGUCUUUAUGUACUUUUAGACGUCGGUUAAUGAGUAUUCCGACGUCUAUAUUGCGCCUUUGAAUGUUGGGUUAGGCUUAUACCGACAUCGAGUGACGUUGGACAUGGAACUACCUGAUGUCAUUAUAGAUGUCUAUUUAUUGGAUGUCCGACGUCCCAUUGACGUCACCGAUAAUGACGUCAGUUGUUUAAUAGACGUUAAAAACCCCAAAGAACCGAUGUUAAUCAGCAUUUUUACACUGGUGACUUUUAAUAAAACAACAAUAUAUUUCAUUUUUAAUAUAUUUUUGUCAACUCAAGUUUAUCAAGGUCAAAUUUUGAUCUUUAAUAAUACUUUUCAGUUGUCCUUUACAAAGAUUUAGACUUGGCCUUAAAUAAUAUUUUCUUAGACUUUAACCUAAUCUUCGAAUUGUUUUCAGACUUUGUAAACUGUUUUUUUCACCUCCUUAUGACUCCUGAAAAUAAUUUUCCAUUUGCAGAUGAUUCUAAUCAAUUAAUUUUUAUGUUCCCAUCGAAUCAAGUUGUUUUAUGUUUAAAUAAAACGACGAAAGGAUCUAUUUUACUCUCAAAACAAGAUAUUAACAAGAAAUAAAUCAAUAAUACAUAAAAGAAAUAAGCGUUUAGGUUAUUUACAUGGACACCUUAUUAACUAGUAAAGCUUUGAUAUAAUCCUUCAUUAUUCCUCCUGAAUGUGUAUAAUUAUCAUGUUCUUUGUAUAGUACGUCCAUCAUUCGUGCAAGGUUGAGAACACGCACAAGAAACUUCAUUGGUACUUGAGUAGGAUUAAGACAUUACCAACUUGUGUAUUUCGCCUUGAACUAUUAUAUUGCUUCAUUUAGCUUGAGACAACGUGUCCUCUUUCAUGCUCAAACUGCAUAAGUAUUGGAUAACAAAUUUAACAUCAAUGCAACUAAUGAACUAUAAAUAAAUUGGGAAUUAAAUAGGGUUUUUGUUUUUGACAAAUUAUUGAAUUUUGUUGGAGUCUCUAAUAAAUUUUUCUUCACUUUUCAGUUCCUAGUAAUUACCUUUUCCCAAUAUUAUUAUUAUAUAUGUUUCAUUAUUUAAAAUGAUAUAUGAAAGUUUUUUUUCAAGACCAAAAAUAAAAUAAAAUAAAGUAUUAUAAUCAAAGACUGUAAACAAAAUCUGAUAAUUAAUCUGGGUCCAAUACAUACUUAAUAAAAAAAACACUAUUUAAUAUUGUUCUCCUACCUUUCUACAAUUAUAGGAAUUAUUGAAUUAUUGUAAAUUAAAUGUUUUCCAAUUUUUAAAAACAAAAAGUGUUUGCAUUCCAUAUAUAAAGCUAGCAGCAUAGAGCAUAUGAAUAAUAACAAUCUUAUUACAUCUUUUAGACAAACUUGUUAUGAUUAGGAGUGGUUUUUGAUAAAAAUGUUUAACUUUCUGUAUUCCAUUUUUUUCGUGAAUCCACCUGUCGAAAAGAAUAAUGGUAGUCUAAGAUUUACCUCACUUCCAACAAUGUCAUCCAUGAGCCUAGAAAUAAUUGAAGCAGCUUCAAUAAUUUUUGGGUGGCUCGUUGCCCAUAUGAGGACCUCCUCUGUUGUGUCUUCCAUGCCCAAGAAAGAUACAGUUGUCAACAUAGCAUAAGUGCUUGUCACAGUUGCAACUUUCAUAUACUCUUCAACUGUUGGUGUGUGGUUGGAAUUAAACCACCUUGCCUCAAUAAGAUGUGCCUGUACUAGUCUUUUCAUCUGUAAUUAAAAAUACAAUUUAUAUAUAUAUAUGACGUUGUUUGGUUCUUUUUGUUUGUUAAAAGAAUCUUUUGCUAUAUUUGGUAUCAUAGUAAUCGGUUACCCAAUAAGGACAUCUCGUCUACAUGGAAAACAAAAAGAUAAGGUUUAGGUUUUAUACAAGUUUAUUUAGUUAAAGAGUUUAGUCCGUAAACCAUUCAAAAAACAUAUUUUAAACUCAACAUAUCCUCAAGUAUUCAAAUAAAUAUAAAUAAUUUUUUUCUUAGAACAAAUACUAGUAUAUUAAAUUUCUUAUAAUGCAUAAAAAUCGUAUCAUGACUUAAACAAGAUGAUUAUAGGAAAAACAAUGAAUUGAAAAAUAAAACUCAUUCAGUUUGGAACUUCAUUAAGACAAAUUUUCAAAUAAAUAAUUUAUUAUGCUAUAGGAGAUGCAUUAUUUAUAGGGAAUGCAUAUCUUACAUACAAUGAUAAAAGAAAAAACACUAAGAAAUUUUUUUUAUCAAGAGUUAUUUUUGUUAUUAUUAACGAUUUUAGUCUCCCAAAAAUACAUUUUUUACAGUUAGAAAAAUCGUCGGGGAAAAAUAUUGUUGGUAAAGUGAUUACUUGCAGUAUACCAAUGGUCUUAUUUGGUGAAAAUCCAAUAAAUUCAUUAACCUUUAAAAGACUUAUAAAGAGUUCUAAACAAGUUCAUUCGUCGUAUAAGACAUUGAUACAAGUCAUAGACCUUUAAAUAUUAUGCAUCAAGUGAAUAAAUCAUAUACUUAGUUUAUUUAUACUAAAGAUCAAGCUUAGGUAUACUAAACUGUUAAAUUAUUUGUCUAAGAACAGAUGAAAAUUAACAUUUUCAUUAAAGACUUUAUAAAUUUUUAAGACGUGAUGUUAAUUUUUAAUGGAAAAAAACAUAUUGGAGUGCGGUGAACGCAAGCUUGUUGAAAUUAACCAAAAAAGUGAAUUGUCUAAUUUUCAAAACAUGAUAUUAGAAUUGGAAUCUUUGGGAGGAAAUAUACUAUAAAAAUAUAGUACAAAUAUGAAUAAAAGUUAAUAAACUCAUUUAAGAUUAUGACACCAUAUUUAACAAUAAAAUCUUUAAAAUAACUGGUUAAAUAUGUUACUUUUCUAUUCUUUUCUUCUUAACGUGAAAUUUCAAGCUACAUUUUAUUUUACUAUUAUGGACUUAAUUGUAGAAAAUGAAAGACUAUUUUUAUUUUUUAAUUUUUAAGGUAUCUAAUAUGUAAUUUUAUGACCAAAUAUAUAUAAGGUAUCUAAUAUGCAAUUUUACUUAAUUUGAUAAGUCCAAUUAAAAGAUAAACUUCUAAAAGUAACAAUAAUAAAUAAAGAAAUAAAAGAAAAAACUUAACCGUACUUCUUUUUUUGCAUACUUGACGAAGUUUUCUUUUCCCCGCUUUCUCAACUCAUGCUCUGUUUCUUCAAAAAUUUUCAAAAGUUCCUUGUAACAUAAUCUCAUAUAUUCUGGGAGAUCAAUUAAUGAGGAGAUAUCCCACCUGCUAAUCAUUAGAAAGUUUACCUUAUAUUUAUUUAAAUAAGAUAAAAACGAUACUAGAUUGAAAAAUAAGAUUAAAAAGACCUUUCUAUUGCAUUGGUGAAAAUCUCUAGUUCAUCAAUGGUUCCAUAGGCAUCAUACACAUCAUCAAUGAUGGAUGAUAUGGCUAUUACUUUCCUCAGUAUUCUUCUAGCAAGACAAUACUGCUGCUCAUAAUAAACUCCAACAAUCCAAAAGCAACCUUCUAUAAUCCUAUCUCGUACAAAAGGAAAAUUGGUGGAGACAUUCAAAUCCUUAAGCCACCACCNGAACAAGAAAAUCCCAAAUUAAUUUCUCAAUGAAGUCUUAGACUUGGCUUUACUUAUUUACUUUUCAUUUAAUAAUAAAAUUUAACUUUUUGGAGGAAAAUAUUACUUGGUCACAGUGCUGACUUCUUUUCGAUAGAGCUUCUGCAACAUAUUAAAGUCUAGAUUUGCAAAGGUUAAUAAACAUUCAUUAUGUGAAGGAUCUUGUUGGUAGAAAGAUAUAUAAUAUCUUGCAUCCAACCUAAGCAUUCCCUUGCGAAGUGCUUGUCCUAUGCUAUCACUAGUGGAAAAACGCUGUUUAACGUCGGUUAUUUUGGGCUUUUGACGUCACUUACGAAACCGACGUCUAUUCCCAUGAAUCUAGUUGUUUGUUACACUAAAAUGACAAACUAAAUAUAGUCAAGAAUUAAGAUCAUUGACUAACGAAAAUAAAUGAAUUAAAACUAUAAAUGCACCAAACCUUGGGAUACAAGACUUGAUUUAGCUGACCUCGAGAUUUACCCAUUACUCUAUUUACAUUAAAACAGAAAGUAAUAUGAAUAUAACUAUGAAAUCAUAAAAAAUUAAGGCCUACAUGAAUUUAAAAGUCAUUUUUAGCAAUACACUUACCCUUGAAGCAUGGUUUUCAAGUUAUUUUUCAUCUUCCUUUGGAGCAAACAGAAGAAGACAACUGUACUUUGUUUGGGAAUGAGGACCACCAGCUGCCAGUGAGCCCUGUUUGGAACAUCAUAAAUAGUUAGUAAACUAAUUAAGGAAAAAUUUAAUUACCUUUUACAUUAAACAACACAUACCCAUCAAUGUAUGGCACAAGGUAUAUGUCUCUGUUUGACUCAGCCAUCCAUUUGCAAAUAAUCUUGUUUGAUUUGAGUUGUCAUACCACAACGUUCAAUGGUCUGAGGUUCAACAAAUCCGUAAACGGAAGACUGACCUUGGUCUACAAUGACGGUGUCCAUGUACCUAUAACAAUAAAGUUAACUUGUUACAAAGUAGGCAUCUAACUUAAACUAUUAUGGUUGACAAAAUUAACUGUCUUACAUGCACCAGAGUUGAAGAACGAAAACAUUCAACUCUUUGUCUCCCUGGAUGAUCUCCGAUACAUCAUUGAAUGUGAUAUAUACUGGCAUAUGGGGAGGGAGACCAAAUACUCGUAAUUCCCAGUAUAUUUGUAUUGAUCCUUUGUUGAACUUGAGAAGGUUUGCCAGUAGCUUUGCUAUGGGAUUAUCUUCUGCUUCAGCCGUGUCAUCACCAUCAUCAGCAUCAUCAUAUUCAGGUAUUGGUGCGUCAUGCAUCGGCUGCUUUUGAGGACAUGUGAACUGAACAUAAAAUUUUCAAAGUUAUGAACAAAUAUUUUUAAUUGAUAAUUGUUAAGUCCCUGCCAAGUGUACCAGAUCGUUAUCAAGUAAUAUAAACGGGUAAGUCCGAGUAUCGUUUUCCCAAAGGACUCUUAGGCCUUAAUUUCACGUAACCUAAUCGCAUAAGACUUGAGAAUAAAUUUGGUGGUGAUAUACGAAGAAGAAAAAUAAACAUGCAUACUUUCUUAAUUAACUUAUUUAUCUAAUUGCCAUGCAUACUUUCUUAAUUACCCUUAACCCAAUCCCUUGGUAAAAAGAGCCUAUUACUAAUUACCAGCUUGCUAUCCCUAGCCUCCCCUAGUAACCAAUAAUGCAAUGUGAUCGGAAGCAAUUACAAUUGAUCGUCCUACCCCUAUCCCUAGGCGAUAUUGGCAUAAUCAAGGAAUUUCCCACCAGUUCAUGACAUUACCGUUGAUGAAGGUUGAAAAACAGUUAUUUUCAUAUGUCANUUUAGACCAAAUUACACCCUUUACUACCUAGAAUGAGCUUAGAAUCAAGCAAAACUCAAUAAAUGAGUCUGUAGAGAGUCAAAAGCUAUUUUUAGCGAUAUUAUGCUUGUUUUGCAUUGUUUUGAGCAUUUCUGAGAAAAUGAAGAAUGGAGUUGAAGAUAAAGGUCGUAGACUCAAGAAAAGAGAAGAAAAUUGAAGAAUUGAAGAGUCGACGCACCGCCCGGCGGUAAAUUCCACCGUCGAGCGGUCCAGGGUGAGGAGUAGGCACCUGGCGUUGGCGCUGGGCGGAUUUGCGAUUAGAGGGAAACCGCCGGGCGGUACUGCAAUUUGUGGGAAACCGCCGGGCGCCACACUUGUUUCGCCGAGCGGUUGUCUGCUAGGCUUGGGCCUGUUUUCUAUUGCGCUCCUCACCUAUAAAUAGCCCUUCUCCUCUAGUGAUUGUGGUGCCUGAUUGGGAUAAAGAGUUUGAACUGAUGUGCGAUGCUAGCGACUAUGCUAUAGGUGUUGUGCUAGGACAGAGAAGAGGAAAGGUUUUUCAUGCUAUUUAUAAUGCUAGCAAAGUGCUAAAUGAGGCACAACUGAAUUAUGCCACCACUGAAAAGGAAUUCUUAGCCAUAGUGUACUCAUUGGAGAAAUUCAGAUCAUAUCUCGUUGGAUCUAAGGUGAUCAUUUAUACAGAUCAUGCANCUAUAAAGUAUUUACUGACGAAACCUGAUUCGAAGCCAAGAUUGAUUAGAUGGGUACUUUUGCUACAAGAAUUUGACGUAGAAAUUCGUGACAAAAAGGGGAGUGAAAAGGUGAUUGCUGAUCAUUUAUCCCGGUUAGUCAAUGAGGAAGUGACAAGCAAGGAGAAAGUAAUUUGGGAAUCAUUUUUAGAUGAAGCUCAUUUGUAUAUUCAGCAAAGACCUUGUUUUGCUGAUUUAGCCAACUUCAAAGCCGCAGGUGUUAUUCCGGAAGGAUUCAAUUGGCAACAGAAAAAGAAGUUUUUACAUGAUGCUAAACAAUUCAUUUGGGAUGAUCCAUAUUUGUUCAAGAUAGGAGCAGAUAAUUUGUUGAGAAGAUGUGUUACUGAAGCAGAAGCAGAAGAUAUUUUGUGGCAUUGUCAAAAUUUUCCUUAUGCAUGUCAUUAUAAUGGAGAACGCAUUGCCGCGAAAAUUUUACAAGCAGGAUUUUAUUGGCCGACUUUGUUUAAAGAUGCUCAUAAUCAUGCUCGAAGCUGCGACAAAUGUAAGAGGACAGGGACCAUCUCAAGGAGGCAUGAGAUGCCACUACAGGGCAUUUUGGAAGUUGAAGUUUUUGAUUGUUGGGGUAUUGAUUUUGUGGGACCAUUUCCUCCAUCAUUUAAUAAUGAAUAUAUUUUGGUAGUUGUUGAUUAUGUGAGUAAGUGGGUUGAAGCUGUAGCAUGUCCUAAGAAUGAUUCUAACACCAUGAUCAAAUUCUUAAAAAGACAAAUCUUUUCACGUUUUGGAACUCCCAGGAUUCUCAUCAGUGAUGGGGGGUCUCACUUCUGCAAUGCUCAGCUAGCUAAGGUACUUAAGCAUUAUGGGUUGAAACAUAAGGUAGCUGCGCCUUAUCAUCCGCAGACAAGUGGCCAAGCUGAAGUUUCUAACAGGGAAAUCAAAAGAAUUUUAGAAAAGACUGUCACUUUUUCAAGAAAAUAUUGGUCACAGAAGUUAGACGAUGCUCUCUGGGCAUAUAGAACUGCCAUGAAAACUUCUAUGAGGUUAUCGCCUUUUCAGUUAGUCUGUGGAAAAGCAUGUCAUUUGCCAGUUGAAAUGGAACACAAAGCUCGGUGAGCUUUGAAAUUUUUGAACUUUGACCCUGAUAAGGCUCAAGGGAAACGAGGCAACCAGCUGCUAGAACUUGAAGAAAUGCGGUUGCAUGCUUAUGAAUCAUCCAGGACUUACAAAGAUAAUGUGAAGUUCUAUCAUGACAAGAAGUUGAUAAAGAGAACUUUCCACCAGGGGAUUUGGUUCUUUUAUUCAAUUCGCGGCUAAAGUUACUCCCCGGGAAACUGAAAUCAAAAUGGUCGGGACCUUUUCUGGUUAAACGUGUAUUCCAAAGUGGAGCAGUGGAAUUAGAAUCGUCGACUGAUGAUAAUCCGCAACGGAGCUGGAUUGUGAAUGGCCAAAGGCUCAAACACUAUGUGGGAGGAGAUGUGGAGCAAUUUGCCUCAGUCAUGAUGUUGGGAGAUUGAUGAGUCGAUAUUUUAUUGAUUUCACUUAGAUUGUUGUGCUAGAAUUAAUCAGCGAAUUGUGCUUAAUUGUCCGGUAUUUUCCCGUUUUUCCUAAUUAUGCUUAAUUUGACCGGAAAUUCUAAUUUUAAUUAAUUUGAAUUUUCUGAGCUAAUUAUUUGCAUUAUUAUUUUAAGGGAAAAUUUUGGAAACACAAUUUGGGACAUUUGGAGGAGACAAAAUAAAUUCAAGAUUCUUCCAUAAGCGUUUUAGAAUUAGUUGUAUUUUAAUUUAGUAGUUUAGAAUUUUUAAACAAACUUUAACAUUGUGGGCCAAUUUUUGGUAUUUUUUGUUGAGCCCAAUAGUAAAAAAAUAGACACAUGGCACCCUAAGGUUGGGUGGACCCCACCCUAAUUUUUGAGACACCUUGCUUCCACCCACACCUUUUACUUUUUUUUCUUUUUAAAGCUUUCUUGAAGGUACCGUGAAUGAAUCAUUAGAAAUUUCUUUGCUUUCAAUUUGAAGUUUGCUGAAGCAUGGGUCACAUCAACUUUAAUUGCACAUUGCAAUUUUAUUUUUUUUUAGUUUAAAAGUGGCUGAAUUUUAUUUGUUUUGCUGCACCAAAUUGUCUUGUGAUUGAAUGAGAAGUUGAUUAGAUGGGAGUAGGUAAAUGGUGUAUGAUGAUUUACUUUGAAAGAAGUUUUUGGGUUUUCAAUUGGAAGUUUGAAUGGUCACGGCUGCAGAGGAAUUUGGGAAGCAUUCUUCUUCUUUCUUCAACGUAGAAAAGUGGUGCAUUUAUUUUACUCAAUUUUGAUUAAAAAAAUGAAAGCACGGGGUGGUCUGGCUGGCAGCAUUCGACACAUUCCUUUUUCUUUUUUUUUAUUUGCUUAAGUAGAACCUGUUAUUGGGCGAAAAAAAAAUUGGCAACAUUAGGUGACGUUAAAUGAGGCUUUCAUUGCUAGAGUUAGAUGCAGGUGUGCGGUGCAAGGAAUUGUCAUGGCUUGGAUUAAUUGUCUUUGCAAAAGUCACGUCCUAGUAAGGUGCAGCGCCACCAUUUAGAUAAUCAUUGAUUGAAAGCUUUCUUAUAUUAAGGUGCAUUUCUUAUUUUAUUUGGAGAAUAGUAGAGUCACGGUUUGGAUGAAAGAAGUACAUGGUAAUUAACAUUUUGGAGAAAGAAAAUUAAUUCAUCUUGGUUUUUAAAAUUAAUUCAUCUUGGUUUUUAGUCAUCGGUUUUAUUCCCGCAAUAUGGAUUUUAUUUCUUUUAGAUCAAGUGUUGCAUUUAAAUUGCCUUAAUUAUGUCUGGAUAUUUGUCUAUUGUACUAUUGGAUUUAGCAUUUUCUUUUACUUUAAUGUUGUCUAGUUUUUUCGGUUGUGCUUAAUUUCCAUGCAUUUUAAUUGAGUUUAAUUCUCAUGUCAAACACCUUCAAACCCCCNNNNNNNNNNNNNNNNNNNNNNNNNNNNNNNNNNNNNNNNNNNNNNNNNNNNNNNNNNNNNNNNNNNNNNNNNNNNNNNNNNNNNNNNNNNNNNNNNNNNNNNNNNNNNNNNNNNNNNNNNNNNNNNNNNNNNNNNNNNNNNNNNNNNNNNNNNNNNNNNNNNNNNNNNNNNNNNNNNNNNNNNNNNNNNNNNNNNNNNNNNNNNNNNNNNNNNNNNNNNNNNNNNNNNNNNNNNNNNNNNCUAUGUGUUAGACUUAAUUCUCGAACCGCAAAAUUGGUCCUUGAGAGACGACCUAGGGUCAUUCCCUAGUCUAUACUGCAUUCUUUUAUGCACAUCAAAUUUGUAUGGGCCGCGACACCCAUCAGAGAUCCAUGAGGUUUGGGUCAGACUCGUGUCGUUAAACAAGCGCUACUAGGAGGCAACCUAGUUUUCUCUCUCUUACUUUUACUUUUUAAAUUUCUAGAAUAGGUUGAAUUUUAAUUUCAGUGUGUAUCCUUGGCUUNAAUACUUUUUCUGAAAAUGUUUGACUGACUGAUGUGCAUGAUGGAACUAUUUGAUGUGGAUGAUUAUUGAGUUGUGUUGUGUGUGAAUUAUGAUUGUGGUUAUGAUGCUAGGCAGGGUGUAUGAAUGAAUUUUGUGUGAGAAAGCAUGUUGUGAGAGGUAUUGAGCUCCAGAGUUUUUAUUGUUGUAUGCAUUGUUCACAGGAAAAAAAUGAAUGAUAUUGCCUUAAUCUUGAUGAUUGAUUGAAUUGCAUGUGAAUGUCAUAUGAUCAAGGCCAUUUUUGAGAACCCUUCUCUAGCCAAAUUUUCACCCAAAGUGCUUGAAAAUAUUAUACCCUUUUUGAACCUUAGCCUUAAACAGGUUGUGAACCCUUGUCUUGAAAUUCUUUACCUUGAGUUGGGAUGAGUUUAAUUGUAUGCGAUGAAAAGGGUCAAGUUUGGGGUUGUAUGGGGGAAAACUGAAAAGCAAGAUGAGAAGCAUUGAGCUCAAAUGUUGUCAAAAGAAAAAAAUUCAUGAGAAAAAGAAAAAAAAAAGAAGAAAAGCAUCAAGAUGAGCUCAAUGAAAAAGAAAAAGGGAAAAAGUUGGAAAUAGAUGAGAUUGGUCAGGAAGAGAGUUGUGCUUAAAUGAAGAAUAUUAUUAUAGCUCUCUUGAUUCAAGGACUUUGUAUUCCAGAAAAACCAAUUUUUCUUGGUAGCCCAACCUCAUUACAAGCCUUGGAAAAGUCCUUUUGAUGACAUUUGCAUGUAAAGAUGUUGAUUGUUUGAGACGAAAGGCAAUUUUGUUUCGUGUGACUUGUGAAUAAUAGAGAGUGAAGUGUCACCAUAAACACUUGAGUGAUUGAGUGAAACACUUGCUUGGUAUGAACUGUUAAUUUUCAUGAGUGCAUUUUUGCUUAGUGGAUUGAUCAUUCAUAAUGUGUAACAUCUGUUGUGCAAUCUUUGGAUUAAAAGCAUGCAUGCACCUUAUUUUGAUUUCAUUGAAGAUCUGAGAUUAAGUAGUGUUUGUCAUGUACUUUGGGAAUGUUGAAACAGUGGAUGAAAUAGUAUAAAGCGAAGCUUUGUUUUGUGUGUUAUUUUAUUUUGUUUGCUUGAGGACAAGCAAAGUUCUAAGUUUGGGGUGUUGAUGAAGGUUGAAAAAUAGUUAUUUUCAUAUGUCAUUUUAGACCAAAUUACACCCUUUACUACAUAGAAUGAGCUUAGAAUCAAGCAAAACUCAAUAAAUGAGUCUGUAGAGAGUCAAAAGCUAUUUUUAACGAUAUUAUGCUUGUUUUGUAUUGUUUUGUAGCAUUUCUGAGAAAAUGAAGAAUGAAGUUGAAGAUAAAGGUAGUAGACUCAAGAAAAGAGAAGAAAAUUGAAGAAUUGAAGAGUCGACACACCGUCUGGGCGGUCCAGGACGAGGAGUAGGCACCUGGCGUUGGUGUUGGGCGGAUUUGCGAUUAGAGGGAAACCGCCGGGCGGUAGACCCCUGCCGUCGGGCGGUACUACGAUUUGUGGGAAACCGCCAGGCGCCACACUUGUUCCGUCGGGCGGUUGUCUGUUGGGCUUGAGCCUAUUUUCUGUUGCUCUCCUCACCUAUAAAUAGCCUUAUUGCGAGUUUAGAUGCAUUCUUUUGACAAAAGGGGGCGGCCAAACCUAAUUUCACUCUCUGGAGAGGAUCUCAUGGAUGCUUAGGCUCCUUUUCAUCUUUUCUAGGGUUUGCUUUUCCAUUCUUCUUCCAUUUUUCAUCUAGUUUCACCAUGNNNNNNNNNNNNNNNNNNNNNNNNNNNNNNNNNNNNNNNNNNNNNNNNNNNNNNNNNNNNNNNNNNNNNNNNNNNNNNNNNNNNNNNNNNNNNNNNNNNNNNNNNNNNNNNNNNNNNNNNNNNNUAAUGUCAUGAACUGGUGAGUAAUUCCUUGAUUAAGCAAUACCACCUAGGGAUAGGGGUAGGACGAUCAAUUGCUUUUAACUUCUGCUCUAUAAUGUUUUAUUAAUUGCUAGGGGAGGCUAGGGAUAGCAAGCCAGUAAUUAGUAAUAGGCUCUUUUCACCGAGGGAUCAGGUUAAGGGUAGGCUAAGAAAGUUGCAUGACAAUUAGUUAAUCAAGCUAAUAAUUCAAGAGGAGUAAAUAAGAGAGAGCGGAUAAGAUGAAAUUGUAAACCCCCAACAACUCCAUUCAUCCAUUGUAUUCUUCUCGUUAAUUGAAUCAAUCUCUUUUGCAUGUUCAUAUUUUAUUUUCACACCCGAUUAAUUAAUUUUUAUUUUCAAGUCUUACGAUCUUAAUUCACACGAACGAUAAGGCCUUUCGAGUCUCUUGGGAAAACGAUACUUGGACUUACCAUUUAUUAUUACUUGGUAUGAUUUGGUACGCUUGCCAAUCCGUUAUCAACUGUACGUCCCCAUAUCGACAAAAACAAACAUCUUUUACUGAAUGAGUUAAACAAUAAAAGCAUUGAGCAUAUAUGGGAACCCAACAAUUGAUAAACAAGUAUAUGACAAGCAUAUGAAAUAAAUAAGAAUUUGAAUAUAUGAGAGUUUCAAAAGAUUACAUUGUUCCCCAACAACAAAGGGUUUAGUUCACCAUAAUCAUGGUGAAACUAGAUGAAAAUAAUGAAAGAAUGGAAGAAAUAACCCUAAACUGUGUUGAAUGGAGCCUAAGCAUCUAAGGAACCUCCUCCAAGGUGUGUGGAAUAGCUCUGGACAUUUCUCUCUGCCCAAAAGAAUCCCUAUCUAAUUCACACUGAGGCUAUAUAUAAGCCCAAAAAGAUAACAGAUGGAUUACAGAAAGAUUUACAGAAUCUAACUAAAAAAAUGGAUAACCGCCCAGACGCCUAAUUUGACCGCUCAGCGGUUUGCCUCUUGCCGCUCUGACCGCUCAGUGGUCAGUUUUGCCGCUGAGCGGUUUGCCUCUAAUCGCUCUGAGCGCUCAACGGACCAUUCUGGCGCUCAACAGUUUGUUUGACCCUUCUUUUUUUCAUUUUUCUCCUUCUUUCAUGGGUCUAAGUCCACCUUACUUCACUUCCAUCUUUAUUUCAUCUAAAAACCCUGCAAAACAAUGCAAAACAAGCAUAAUAUCGCUAAAACCAACUUUUGACUCUCAAGAGACUCAACUAAGUGUUUUACUUGAUUUAAAGCUCAUUCUAAGCCAUAAAGGGUGUGUUUUUCUAUGAAAUUUAAGUAUGAAAACAACGGUUUUUAGACUGUUAUCACAACCCCAAACUUAGAACUUUGCUUGUCCUUAAGCAAACAAGAAAAAACUUGCCAUUCCACUUUUUCAUCAAAUAAUUCACACUUUCAAAAUUCCUUUUUCUCAUGACAAGUUAUUAUACAAUUUCAAAUUUCAGUGGAAUCCUACAAAGAUGCAUGCAUGCUUUCAAUCCAAAUUAGUUCACAUAAUCAAUCUUUUUUUUAACAGAGGUUUUGUUUCAUGAAUGAUCAAUCAACUAAACAUGGAUGUAAGCAUGGAUUUAACAAUUCUCACCAAGCAAGUGUUCCACUCAAUCACUCAAGUGUUUAAGGAGGUCACUCUACUCUCUACUGUUCACAUGUCACAUAAAACAAUAUUGUCAUUCAUCUAAAACAAUCAACAUCUUUCACAUGCACAUGUCAUCACAAGGAAUUUUUCCAAGGCUUGUAUUGUGGCUGGGUGAUGAAGGUUGAAAAACAGUUAUUUUCAUAUGUCAUUUUAGACCAAAUUACUCGCUUUACUACUUAGAAUGAGCUUAGAAUCAAGCAAAACUCAAUAAAUGCGUCUGUAGAGAGUCAAAGAUGAAGGUCGUAGACUCAAGAAAAGGGAAGAAAAAUGAAGAAAUGAAGAGUCUAGGAACCGCCCAGCGGCAGAAACAUGCAUUUUUAGCAGGCUUACUUAAAUCAAUAAAUCCCUUAGCAUUGCUUCUGUUAGGUUUAGCUUUGUAUCCUAUUCCUUGCCUGUAUAUAGCUCUGCCAGAGGAUUUCAAAACAACAUUUAAAUUGUCUCUACCUUGAGUAAACUUAGCUAGCGUGCUAGUCAAGUAAUUUAUCUUUUCAAUGUGAGCAGGACAAUUUUCAGAAGGGUUUUCUACUAUAACAGUUUCAAUUUUAUUAUCUUUAGCAGAUAACAAAGCAUAAUUUAAUUCUUUCUCUAAUUUUUCAUUUUCAGCAACAAGGUUGUUAAUCCUAUAUUCAUAAUCUCUUCUCUCAGAGUUCAGUCGAUUAACCAUAUACUAUAGUCGCAUUGCUUCAGCAUGUAGUUCUUGAAAAGCAUCUCGCAACAGAUCAUACUUGAUUUCAACUGGUUCAUUUAAGAUGUCUGUAUCAAAAAUCGUCUGAUGUUACUCCAGUCAUAUAGCACAAGUUGGAUUCCUCCUCUUGACCAGCAUCUUCAUCCUUUGAGCUUUCAUAAUCUAUAUUCUCCCAAGCAAUGUAUGCUCCUUUUCUUUUCAUAUUUCUACGUUGAGGGAACAUUUUCUUUCCUUUCUGUUUAGGCUUUAAUUUUGGACAUUCAGGCUUGAUAUGUCCUUGUUUCCACACUUGUAACAUUGGACAACAUUUGUACUGAAGUUUUUCUUUUUGCCUUGACCUGCAUGGUUAGUCAAUUGACUAUCAUUAUGUAUAAGGCGACUAAAUUUUCUUACCAUCAAGGUCUGUUAACACCCUGGCAAGUGUACCAGAUCGUAUCAAGUAAUAAUAAAACGGUAAGUCCGAGUGUCGUUUUCCCAAGAGACACAGGGCACUAAACUCUUGUGCUUUUGCUUAACCAAUCAAGACUAUAAGAACAAUAUUUUGGGGUUUUUGAAUAUAAAGUUCAGGAAAAUAAAUAUGAAUGCAAUUUAAUUAAUUGAGGUUAAACACAAAAGUGGAUGGAUGAUGUUGAUAAUAUGAGAUGAGUUUGUUGUUAGGGUUUAGAUUUCACCUAAUCACUCUCAUAUAUCUACUAUUCUUAUAUGUUAUCAAUGUUUAUGCAACUUUCUAAUUUACUCUAAACCCGAUCCCUCGGUAAAAAGAGCCUAUUACCAUAAUUACUAGUUUACUAUCCCUAGUCUCCCUAGCAAUUACUACUGCAUUAAUCCCAUAAGCUUAAAGCGAUUGACCGCCCUACUCCUAUCCCUAGGCAGUAUGUCAUAAUAGAGACAAUUCUUCCCAGUUCUAGAUUUCUCCGUACGUCCCCAUAUCGACAAAAUCAAAGAUCAUGACACCGAAUGAGUUAAAUGAUGCAAGCUUUAUUCGACAGAGAAGAAAACCUAAAACUAUUGAUAACAAACGUAUAUGAAUAAAAUAAGAACUUCGAUAUAUGAGAGUUUAGAGGUUACAUCUAUUCCCUAGCAACAAAUAAAAUUAGUUCUCCAUCGUCAUGGAAGAAGUAGGUGUACAAUGGAAUGAAAGAGAUAGAAACCCUAGAAAGAGGAGAGGAGAGUUGUCAAUUCCCAAAAUAUGCCCCCAAAGGGGUGAAAAAUGUUUCUGUGCCUAAGCCAUCAAUAGAUACAUUCUCUAAGACGUUUUGGCCUUUAAAUAGGGCAUAAAAAUAACAGAAAACGGGACCAGGCCCAAAACAGAUCAUAAAAAUAACAAAAAAACAGGCCCAAGUCCAAGCAAAUGGCUAUCAACGCUCAAACCACCGCUCAACGGUAGGUGUGGCACCCAGAAUCACCCCCCUACGGUACCCAGGUGUCAAUACAGUGAAAAUUGGUCCCAAAGCUAGCGCUCAGCGCCCAAUUCACCGCUCAACGCUACCUUUUCUGCAUUCUGGUCAACUCUGGUCAACUUUUCAGCAUUUUGGUUGACUUUUCUGGUUGACUAGUUGACUUUUCUGCAUUCUAUUUGACUUUACUGCACGGUAACUCCUUGAUACUUCAGCCCUACUUUCAAAUCAUUCCAAUAACCUACAAAAUCAAGGGAAUUUAUUGAUAAAAUCAUAAAGUAUAACCUCAACUCUAUUAUUCACAAAAGUAAAGCAAAAUCAUGAGUCAAAGCAAGUUUAUAAGUCAACAAGGGUGCAUUUGAUAUCAAAAUUAAAUAUAAAAAUAACGGUUUUUGAACCGUUAUCACAACCCCAAACUUGAAACUUUGCUUGUCCUCAAGCAAACAACAUGAAACUUAGUCUUCCAUAAACCAACACAAUGGUUCAAUCACAUUCAAAAGGUCUUUCUUUCAAGAUAAGUAAUCACUCAAGUCAACUCAUCAAUAGAAUUUAGUCAACAUGUGCAUGUGCUUUGCUUCAAAUUACUCAUCAUGGUGUUCACAUAAUCACAUAAUCUUCUAAAAAAUGCUCUUAUCAUGAAUGAUCAAUUAGCUAAGCAAAGAUAUAACCAUAGAUUCAUGGAAUUAUUCCUCAACAGUCAAGGUGUUUCACUCAAUCACUGAUAACGGUUGAAAAACAGUUAUUUUUAGCGAUAUUAUGGCUUAGAAUGAGCUUAGACUCAUGCAAAACUCAAAAAAAUGAGUCAGUUGAGAGUGAAAAGUUGUUUUUAGCGAUAUUAUGCUUGUUUUGUAUUGUUUUGCAACAAUUUUGAUGAAAGUAAAGAUUGGGGUUAAAAAUGAAAGUUUUAGACUGAAGACAGAGGAAGAAAACUGAAGAAAAGAAGAGUCUAGGAACCGCCCAGCAGCAAAAUUCACCGUUGGGCGGUCCAAUGCGAGGAAGUGGCACCAGGCAUGGACACUGGGCGGAUUUGCGACUAUGGGCAAACCGUCGGGCGGCAAUCCCCCACCGUUGGGAGGUGGCGCGAUAAUGGGCAAACCGCCGGGCGGCAUAAGUGUGACGUCGGGCGGUUGUCUGCUGGGCUUUGGCCUGUUUUCUGUGACGCUCCUCAGUUGUAAAUAGCCCUGUUGCGACUUAAGAUUCAUUCUUUUGAUAGAAACGGGUGACCAGACCUAAUUUUCACUCCUUAGAGAAGAUCCCUUGGAUGCUUAGGCUCCUUUUUAUCCUAUCUAGGGUUUGCUCUUCCAUUCUUCCAUCAUUUUUAAUCUAGGUUCACCAUGACAAUGAUGAACUAAACCCUUUUGUUGUUGGGGGAAACCAUGCAAUCUUUUGAUACUCUCUUUUAUUGAAACUCUUGUUUAUUUAUAUGGUCUCCAUAUGCUUUGAUUGUUAAUUGUUGGGUUCUCAUCUGUGCUUAAUGCUUUUAUUGUUUAACUCAUUUGAUAACUGUUGUUUGUCUUUAUUGAUACGGGGACGUACGGUACUAUCAUGAAGUGGUGAGAAAUUCNNNNNNNNNNNNNNNNNNNNNNNNNNNNNNNNNNNNNNNNNNNNNNNNNNNNNNNNNNNNNNNNNNNNNNNNNNNNNNNNNNNNNNNNNNNNNNNNNNNNNNNNNNNNNNNNNNNNNNNNNNNNNNNNNNNNNNNNNNNNNNNNNNNNNNNNNNNNNNNNNNNNNNNNNNNNNNNNNNNNNNNNNNNNNNNNNNNNNNNNNNNNNNNNNNNNNNNNNNNNNNNNNNNNNNNNNNNNNNNNNNNNNNNNNNNNNNNNNNNNNNNNNNNNNNNNNNNNNNNNNNNNNNNNNNNNNNNNNNNNNNNNNNNNNNAUUCAUCCAUAGUCUUUUUCUUGUCAACUGAAUCAAACGCAUUGCAUGUUUAUUUUGUGUUCUUGCAUACGCAACAAUUAAUUUUCUUUACAAGUCUUACGAUCUCAAUUCACACGAAUGAUAUUCGAGUCUCUUGGGUAGAACGAUAUCGGGCAUUACGGAUUUUAUUACUUGAACGAUCUGGUACACUUGCCAGUGAGUCAACAAUCACCCAAGUGUUUCACUUAAAGGUGUACAAAGGUCACUUCGUCCCUCUACUAUCCACAUGUCACAUAGAACAAAAUUGCCUUUCAUUUACCACAAUCAAACAUCAUCACAUACACAUGUCAUCACAAGGACUUUUCAAGGUUUAUAUUGUGGUUAGGCUAACACGAAAAAUUGGUUUUUCUAGAUCACAAAACCCUUGAGUUAAGAGAGUUAUUUAUACAUUCAUAAUUCAAUCACAAACUCUCUUUUUAACCAAUCAAUAUUACUCCCAACUUUCCCCUUUUUGCAUUGAGCUUUUCUUUCAUUCUAUCUUUUUCAUCUUUUUCUAUCUUUUUCACUUUUGCUCAACACAUUAGCUCAAUGCUUUCUUUUUCUCUUUCAACUUUCCCAACAACCCCAAACUUGAAAUUUUAUCAGUACCAUGCAAUAAUUCUCAACUUAACUCAAGGUACAAAUUUUUUCACAAGGGUUUUCAUCUUGUUUAAGGCUUAGGUUCAAAAAGGGUAGAACAUAAAAUGUUCCUUGUUCAUAUGGGACGAAAUUUUUGGCUACAAAAGGGCUUUUCAAAAAUGGCCUUGAUCAUAUGACACAUACAUGCAAUUCAAUCAAUCACAGAAGCUCAGGCAAAAUCAUUCAUGCUUUCAAGUAGAUAACAAAUAUAUCAAUAAGAACUCUGGAGCUCAAAAACCUUACGCAAGCUUACUCCAAUCAUCCAAACAAAUACCCUACAAUAGCAAAACCACAAUGCAUCUAUUCACAUAGCUUGUGAACCACCACCUUUAUAUCAGCAUAUUGUGCAAUCUCAACAUCAUCAAUAUCAAAGCAUCAUCAAGCAAUACCCAUCAUGCAAAAAUAUUAGUAUAAAACCACUGCAUCAGAUAUAGUGUCCAACCAAGUACAUUAAUCCUAUAAUUCAAAUUACAAAACCACAAGAUAUAAAAAUCUUGUUCUAGUGCAAAUAUCAUCCAUCAGUACAUGUUAUCUCUUCUCCUUAUCUCCUUCUUCUUCAUCUUCAAAAUCAUCGUCCUCAUCAUCUUCCUCCAUAGUUGGAGCUUCAACUGCUCCAACUCUGAUUCCUUCCUCUUGUUCCCCACAGUCUUGAUCCUUUUUCCUAAUGAGGAGCCCAUCCAUGCAUCAAGUACAAUUCACAAAACCAUAAGGAAUCUCAUUAAACGUUAGUAGAACACAAAACUUCUCCCAAGGAAUGAGGAGGAAUCAACCCUAAAUAGUUGUGCUCUCACAACACCCCAAACUUGGAUGAAAAAGUGAUGCUACAACGGUGGAGGAAGUGUUUUCUAGAAGUGGGAUGACAGGAGAAGUGAUGGGAAAUCUUUGGAAGAGUGUUUGAAAGUGAAAGAGAUGUUGGGGAUCAUAAAGUAGACGUUUGGGAGAGCCCUAAGGGGUAUAAAAUUCAUGCAAUGGGCCAAGAAAAACAAAGACCAAAUUUAAAAACACUUUGACCCGUUGCCAUCGCCCAGCGGUGAGUUCACCGCCAAGCGUUAGGCACGAUUUGGCUUUUCCCCCUUUUUGCUUUGCUACAAAUGUCUUUUGUUAGCAAAAUGAUGAAGAUGAAGUUUUGAUGAUGCCCAAAUCAAGUCAAGAUUUAUCAAGAUUCAUGAAGAUCCUUUGAAGACUUAUUUUUGUUAUGAAAAGCUUUUGUAAUAAUUGUAGUUUAAUUGUUUAGGACUUAGAUUUGUAGUAGGUUUUGAUUCUUGUACCUUUCUACUUUGUAUUUGCUGUUUAGAAUCAAAACUUCUUCGUUUUAAUCGAUUAAUCCCUGAUAUAAUCGAUUAAAAUCGCUACAGAAGCCAGAACCCAAUCGGCUUUGGAAUAAUCGAUUGAAGCAAGUUUUAAUCGAUUAAUUAAUCGAUUAAUCCUGAGAAUAAUCGAUUAAUACUAGCCAUUGGAGGUUUCUGAUUUGAAAAACUAGCCGUUGUACUUAUUUUAAUCGAUUAACACUAAUAUUAAUCGAUUAAAUGUGUUAAAUGGCCAGCUUUUAUCCAUCAACAACAACUCUUCCCUUGCGCUAAAACACUCAGAACUCUUUGAGAAGUCUUGCUCAGCUAAAGAAACUCUUGUCUGUGGUGCUGGUACAUUGCAACUACGGUGACGGAGGAAUGGCUGGUUCAUCCUUAGUGCGUCUAAGGAGGAGUGUGGAAGAGGAUCAUCCUUCGUGAAGUAUUCGGAGGAGGUGUUUCAUCCUUCGUGAAGUAUUCUGAGAAGAUGUCUCAUCCUUUGUGAAGAUUCAAAGGAGGUGCAGGUUCAUCUCUUGUGGUAUCAAGAGAGGUGGUUUCUAAACUUUUACAAAUUAUUUUUCUUUGUGAUUAUUAUUUGUAAUUGUUUUGUGAUAGUGGACUGUUUAUCUCGGUUUGAGAUAAGUGACUGGACAUAGGAUUGGUAAGAUCUGAACCAGUAUAAAAAUCAUCUGUGCAAAUUUCUCUCAACCUUACUCUUUUAUUUAUAUUUAUUAUUUGCGUAGUAAGUGAAAUUGAGACGAAAUUAAAAGGCACACGUUUGAAUUAAAAACCCUCUUGGUUUGUUAUUCCACGCUAACAAUUUCGCUGCAGUCGAUUCUAACAUCUUUGACCCUGUAACCCUCAAUUUCAGCUUUCAAAUCUCAAGUUUCAUGCAAUUCCCACUCACAUAUGCAACAAUUAAGCCCUAAAUGCAACUAGAACAGUAUUAAAACAUGCAACACAAACAAAUCAAUCAACUGGGUUGCCUCCCAGGUAGUGCUUGUUUAACGUCACGAGCCUGACCCAAAAUCUUUCUAGCACCCAUCAAUAGGUGCAAACCUUACCAUCAUCCAUCAGUAGUUGUACCUUCCCGGUAUCCUUUAGUAGAUACCUAAAUCUUCUAGCAUCCCUCAGUAGAUGUUAUCCCAGUAGCAUUCAUAAGUAAAUGCUGUCAGUGACAUCCAUCAGUAGAUGUCUAUUCACCGUCCUUUUCUAUAGCAACAUCCAUCAGUAGAUGUUGUAGAAGCAUCCAUCAGUAGAUGCUAUCAUCACUGCCAUCAUAAGCAACAUAUAACCUAAAAAAAAAUCAAAUCCACACCACACAAAUAAUUCAAUUGAAAAGAAAAAGUUAGAAACUGAGUUUCCUCCUAGCAAGCGCUCUUUUAACGUCAUUACCUUGACUUGGUAAAGCCCAAACACCCAUAUGUAGGUGUUGAUGUUGGCGUUCUUCCUUCCUUCAUGACUGAUAACGGUCUAAAAACCGUUAUUUUCAUAUUUAAAAUUGAUAGUAAAACACACCCAUUAUGGCUUAGAAUGAGCUUUAAAUCAAGUAAAACACUUAGUUGUGUCUUGUGAGAGUCAAAAGUUGGUUUUAUCGAUAUUAUGCUUGUUUUACAUUCUUUUGCAGGGUUUUUAGAUGAAUUAGAGAUGGAAGUGAAGUAAGGUGGACUGAGACCCAUGAAAGAAGGAGAAAAAUGAUUAAAAGAAGGGUCAAGUGAGCCGCUGAGCGCCAGAAUGGUCCACUGAGCGCUCAGAGUGAUCAGAGGGAAACCGCUCAGUGGCAAAACUAACUACUGAGCGGUGAACUUAGGCGCCUGGGCGGUUAUCUGUUUUUAUUAGCUAGAUUCUGUAAUCUUUCUGUUAUCUUUCUGUUAUCUUUUUGGGAUUAUAUAUAGCCCUAGUGCGAAUCAAAAGGGGAUUCUUUUGGCAAAGAGAAACGUCCAGAGCUAUUCCACAUACCUUCAAGGAGGUUCCUUGGAUGCUUAGGCUCCAAUCUACCAAGUUUAGGGUUAUUUCUUCCAUUCUUUCAUCAUAUUUCAUCUAGUUUCGCCAUGAUUAUGGUGAACUAAACGCUUUGUUAUUGGGGAACAAUUUAAUCUUUUGAAACUCUCAUAUAUUCAAAUUCUUAUUUAUUUCACAUGCUUGUCAUAUACUUUUUUUUUAUCAAUUGUUGGGUUCUCAUCUUUGCUUAAUGCUUUUUAUGUUUAACUCAUUCAUUAAAAGUGGUUUGUCUUGAUCGAUAUGGGGAUGUACGUUAAUGUCAUGAACUGGUGAGAAAUUGAUUAUGCUAAUACCGCCUUGGGAUAGGGGUAGGACGGUCAAUUGUAUUUGCUUCCGAUUGCAUUGCAAUAUUGGUUACUAGGGGAGGCUAGGAAUAGCAAGCAGGUAAUUAAUCACUAGUAAAAAAUAGGCUUUAUACAGCACACAUUAUGCCACGGUUUACCAGAAACCGCAGCAUAAUGGCGCGUGGUGGCACUUUGGUAAAUAAUUCGAACGUAUAUGUUACCAAUAAGGAGUAUUGGUAAAACCUGAAGAAUUAUUUUGAUGAUGCUGCAAGAGGUAUUAUUUGAAGAGAACAUUAGAUUUAUUUAAAAAGCAACUUGUAGAAUUUGGAUGUAGUAGGAAAAUCUUAAACCUUGUAUUUUUAACUUGAAUAAUCGAUUAUGGACAAGCUAUAAUUGAUUGUCACUUGCAUUUUGUACUAGAAUAAUCGAUUAUCAUGAAGCAAUAAUCGAUUAUCACAAGUCAUACUUGAAUAAUCGGUUAUCACUUCAUAUAAUCGAUUACCACUUUUAGAAAACCCUGUAACGGACUUGAAUAAUCAAUUAUCACUUACAAUAAUCGAUUAUUCAUGGCAGUUGGGACCUGACCUUUGACAUUCAGUGCAUUUGGCUAUAUAUUUGGCUUUUGUAAAAUUCAGAGGCAACGUUUCUAAACUGAGAAGCUUAAUAGAACACUGUUUAUCAGAGGAAAGUUCUCAUAAGCUUUGUUCAUAGUUCCCUUGCUUGGUCUCGUGAAAGGAGAGGCUCGCGUAUCGUGUGUCGAUAGUCGGAGUAGACUUUCUUCGAGUUAGCUAGGUACUCUGCCUGGUCUUGUGAAAGGAGAAGCUCGCGAAUCGUUGGUCGAUUGCCGGAGCGGUGUUGACAAAUUGGCAAGUGUACCAAAUCGUACAAGUAAUAUAAAUGGUAAGACCAAGUAUCGUUUUCCCAAGAGACUCGUGUGGCUUUCUCAUUCGCGUGAAUUAAAAUCAUAAGACUUGAAAAAUAAAAAUUAAUAAAUUGGAUUGGAGAACAAAAAUAUUAACAUGUAAAAAUAAAGUUGAUUCAAUUGACAAACGAAAACAAUGGAUGAAUGAAUGUUGUUGGGGGUUUACAAUUUCAUCUAUUCCACUCUCUCUUACAUACUACCCUUGAAUAUUAGUUUGAUUAAUUGUUAUGCGACUUUCUUAGCCUCCCCUUAACCCGACCCCUCGAUGAAAAGGGCCUAAUAUUAACUACUGGCUUGCUAUCCCUAGCCUCCCCUAGUAAUUAAUACCGCAUUAUAAACAAAAGUUAGCGCAAUUGAUCGUCCUACCCCUAUCCCUAGGUGGUAUUGAAAAAUCAAGAGAUUACUCACCAGUUCAUGUCAUUACUGUACGUCCCCAUAUCAAUAAAGACAAACAUCAAUAUACCAAAUGAGUUAAACGAUAAAGGCCUUAAGCACAGAUGAUAACCCAACAAUAAUCAAUCAAAACAUAUGGAGACCAUAUAAAUAAUCAAGAGAUUCAAUAAGAGAGAGUAUCAAAAGAUUACAUUGUUUCCCCAACAAAAAUAGGGUUUAGUUCACCAUAAACAUGGUGAAACUAGAUGAUAAAUGGAAGAGAAAACCCUAGAAAGGAUGAAAAGGAGCCUAAGCAUCCAAGAAAUCCUCUCCAGAGAGCAAAAUUAGGUCUGGCCGUCUUCCCCUGUCAAAAGAAUGACUCUGAACUCGCAAUAGGGGUAUUUAUAACCAAGAAAAGUUACAAAAUUCAAGCCGAGGCCCAGCGGACCAACGCCCGGCGCCAAAAAUGGCCGCCCGGGGGUUUGCCUAAAGCCACAAAACCGCUCGGCGCCUAAAAAAUAGCCUCUCGGCGCUCCGGUCAACCGCCCGACGGCACGGUCAACCGCCCGACGGUUAGGUCAACUUUUUCUGGUUGACUGAUUGACUUUUCUGGUUGACUGAUUGACUUUUUUGCAUUCUGGUUGACUUUUCUGCACUACAACCGUUUGAUCUUCAACCUUUCUUUCCUUUUCUUGAGUCUACGACCUUUAUCUUCAACUCCAUUCUUCACUUUCUUCAAAAUAGCUACAAAACAAUGCAAAACAAGCAUAAAAUCGCUAAAAACCGCUUUUGACUCUCUUCAGACUCAUUUAUUGAGUUUUGCUUGAUUCUAAGCUUAUUCUUGAGUAGUAAAGGGUGUAAUUUGGUCCAAAUUGACAUAUGAAAAUAACUGUUUUUCAACCUUCAUCAACACCCCAAACUUAGAAUUUUGCUUUCCUCAAGCAAAACAAAACAAAACAACACACAAAAUAAAACUUGGCUUUAUACUGUUUCAUCCAGUGCCUCAAGAAUCCCAAGGUACAUGACAAAACUACUCAAUUCAAUAUCCUCAGUGAAAUCCAAAAUAAGAUGCCUGCAUGCUUUCAAUCUAUAGAUUGCACAACAAAUGUUAUACAUUAUGAAUGACUAAUCCACUAAGCAAAAAUGUACUCAUGAAAAACAACAGUUCAUACCAAGCAAGUGUUUCACUCAAUCACUCAAGUGUUUAAGGUGACACUCCACUCUCUGUUGUUCACAAGUUACAUGAAACAAAAUUGUCAUUCAUCUCAAACAAUCGACAUCUUUACAUGCAAAUGUCAUCAAAAGGACUUUUCCAAGGCUUGUAAUGAGGUUGGGCUAACAACAAAGAAUUGGUUUUUCUAGAAUGCAAAAUCCUUGAGUCAAGAGAGCUAUCAAAAUAUUCAACAUUUAAACACAACUCUCUUCCUCACCAAUCUCUCUCAUUCCCAACUUUUUCCGUUUUCUCUUUCUUUUGCAUUGAGCUCUUCUUCAUGCUUUUCUUCUUUUCUUUUCUUUUUCUCAUGAAUUUUUCUUUUCACACAUUUGAGCUCAAUGUUUUUCACUUGCUUUUCAAAUUUUCCCCCGUACAACCCUAAACUUGAAUCUUUUCAUUCCAUACAAUUAAGCUCAUCCCAACUCAAGGUAAAGAACUUCAAAACAAGGGUUCACAUCCUGUUUAAGGCUAAGGUUCAAAAGGGGUAUAAUAUUUCAAGCACUUUGGGUGAAAAUUUGGGUAGAGAAGGGUUUUCAAAAAUGGCCUUGACCAUAUGACAUUCACAUGCAAUUCAAUUGAUCAUCAAGAUUAAGGCAAUAUCAUCCAUGUUUUUCCUGUGAACAAUGCAUACAUCAAUAAAAACUCUGGAGCUCAAAAUCUCACACACAUGCUUUCUCACACAAAAUUCAUUCAUACACCCUGCCUAGCAUCAUGACCACAAUCAUAAAUUCAUCACACAUCUAUUUCCUGGAUAUCAUCAUGCAUUACNACUCAAUUCUCAUCCACAUCAAAUAAUCAUCAAAUAACUCCAUCAUGCACAUGAGUGUCAAACAUUUUCGGAACAAGUGUUAAAGCCAAGAAUACACACCAAAAUUAAAAUUCAACCUAUUCUAAGAAUUUAAAAUGCAAAAGUGUAAGAAGAAAUCUAGGUUGCCUCCUAGUAGCGCUUGUUUAACGUCACGAUCCUGACUCAAACCUGUUUAGCACUUGUUAGUAAGUGCAAAUCCUUCCAACACCCAUCAGUAGNNNNNNNNNNNNNNNNNNNNNNNNNNNNNNNNNNNNNNNNNNNNNNNNNNNNNNNNNNNNNNNNNNNNNNNNNNNNNNNNNNNNNNNNNNNNNNNNNNNNNNNNNNNNNNNNNNNNNNNNNNNNNNNNNNNNNNNNNNNNNNNNNNNNNNNNNNNNNNNNNNNNNNNNNNNNNNNNNNNNNNNNNNNNNNNNNNNNNNNNNNNNNNNNNNNNNNNNNNNNNNNNNNNNNNNNNNNNNNNNNNNNNNNNNNNNNNNNNNNNNNNNNNNNNNNNNNNNNNNNNNNNNNNNNNNNNNNNNNNNNNNNNNNNNNNNNNNNNNNNNNNNNNNNNNNNNNNNNNNNNNNNNNNNNNNNNNNNNNNNNNNNNNNNNNNNNNNNNNNNNNNNNNNNNNNNNNNNNNNNNNNNNNNNNNNNNNNNNNNNNNNNNNNNNNNNNNNNNNNNNNNNNNNNNNNNNNNNNNNNNNNNNNNNNNNNNNNNNNNNNNNNNNNNNNNNNNNNNNNNNNNNNNNNNNNNNNNNNNNNNNNNNNNNNNNNNNNNNNNNNNNNNNNNNNNNNNNNNNNNNNNNNNNNNNNNNNNNNNNNNNNNNNNNNNNNNNNNNNNNNNNNNNNNNNNNNNNNNNNNNNNNNNNNNNGAUAGUGGCUUGACAUUCUUCUUUAGGGUUGACUUCAGUAUCAGCCUUAAUAAUGCCUAAAGCCUUUAGGGCAUGAAAGUGUUGUUCCUGCAAUAAACGUGCUUGUGCUUCUCCCAAUGUUUCUUUGCGUACAGGAGAUUUUUUUGUUAUAAACGCUGUCGGGCUUCCCCCAACGUCUCUUUUGGUUCAGAAAAUAAGUUUGUUGACAAAUUGGCAAGCGUACCAAAUCGUGCAAGUAAUAUAAAUGGUAAGACCAAGUAUCNUUUUCCCAAGAGACUCGAAAGGCUUUCUCGUUCACGUGAAUUAAAAUAAUAAGACUUGAAAAUAAAAAUUAAUAAAUUGGAUUUGAGAACAAAAAUAUUAACAUGCAAAAUAAAGUUGAUUCAAUUGACAAAAGAGAACAAUGGAUGAAUGAAUGUUGUUGGGGGUUUACAAUUUCAUCUAAUCCGCUCUCUCUUACAUACUACCCUUGAAAAUUAGUUUGAUUGAUUUAAUUGUUAUGCGAGUUUCUUAGCCUCCCCUUAACCCGAUCCCUCGGCGAAAAGGGCCUAAUAUUAACUACUGGCUUGCUAUCCCUAGCCUCCCCUAGUAAUUAAUACCGCAUUAUAAACAAAAGUUAGCGCAAUUGAUCGUCCUACCCCUAUCCCUAGGUGGUAUUGUAAAAUCAAGAAAUUACUCACCAGUUCCUCUCAUUACUGUACGUCCCCAUAUCAAUAAAGACAAACAUCAGCUACCGAACGAGUUAAACGAUAAAGGCCUUAAGCACAGAUGAUAACCCAACAAUUAUCAAUCAAAACAUAUGGAGACCAUAUAAAUAAUCAAGAGUUUCAAUAAAAGAAACUAUCAAAAGAUUACAUUGUUUCCCCCAACAACAAUAGGGUUUAGUUCACCAGGGUCAUGGUGAAACUAGAUGGAAAAUGGAAGAAGAAUGGAAAAGUAAACCCUAGAAAAGAUGAAAAAGAGCCUAAGCAUCCAAGAGAUCAUGUCCAGAGAGCAAAAUUAGGUUUGGCCAUCCUCCCCUUUCAAAAGAAUGACUCUGAACUAUCAAUAGGGGUAUUUAUAACCAAGAAAAGUGACAAAAUUCAAGCCCAGGCUCAGCGGACCACCGCCCGGCGCCAAAAAUGGCCGCCCGGCGGUUUGCCUAAAGCCACAGAACCGCCCAGCGCCAAAAAACAGCCAUCCGGCGCUCCGGUCAACCGCCCGGCAGCACGGUCAACCGCCCAGCGGUUUGGUCAACUUUUUCUGGUUGACUUUUCUGGUUGACUGGUUGACUUUUCUGCAUUUUGGUUGACUUUUCUGCACUGCAACCGUUUGAUCUUCAACCUUUCUUUCCUUUUCUUGAGUCUACGACCUUUAUCUUCAACUCCAUUUUUCAUUUUCUUAAAAUAGCUACAAAACAAUGUAAAACAAGCAUAAUAUCGCUAAAACAGCUUUUGACUCUCUACAGGCUCAUUUAUUGAGGUUUGCUUGAUUCUAAGCUCAUUCCAAGUAGUAAAGGGCGUAAUUUGGUCCAAAUUGACAUAUGAAAAUAACUGUUUUUGAACUUUCAUCAACAACCCCAAACUUAGAACUUUGCUUGUCCUCAAGCAAAACAAAACAAAACACACACAAAAAAACUUGGCUUUAUACUUUUUCAUCCAAUGCCUCAACAAUCCAAAGGUACAUGACAAAACUGCUCAAUUCAAUAUUCUCAAUGAAUUCCAAAAUAAGAUGCAUACAUGCUUUCAAUCUAGAGAUUGAAUAACAGAUGUUAUACAUUAUGAAUGACCAAUCCAUUAAGCAAAAAUGCACUCAUGAAAAUUAACAGUUCAUACCAAGCAAGUGUUUCACUCAAUCACUUAAGUGUUUAAGGUGACACUCCAACUCUCUAUUGUUCCCAAGUCACAUGAAACAAAAUUGCCAUUCAUCUCACACAAUCAACAUCUUUACAUGCAAAUGCCAUCAAAAGGACUUUUUCAAGGCUUGUAAUGAGGUUGGGCUAAGAAGAAAAAUUGAUUUUUUUUGUUUUCUAGAAUGCAAAAUCUUUGAGUCAAGAGAACUAUCAAAAUAUUCAACAAUUAAGCACAACUCUCUCACCAAAAUUUCUCAUUCCCAACUUCUUCCCUUUUCUUUUCUUCUUCAUCGAGCUCAUCUUCAUGCUUUUCUUCUUUUCUUUUCUUUUUCUCAUGAAUUUUUCUCUUUUCACAACAAUUGAGCUCAAUGCAUUUUACUUGCUUUUUCAAUUUUNCCCCGUACAACCCCAAACUUGAGCCUUUUCAUCACAUACAAUUAAGCUCAUCCCAACUUAAGGUAAAGAAUUUCAAAACAAGGGUUCAUAUACUGUUUAAGGCUAAGGUUCAAAAAGGGUAAUAUUUCAAGCACUUUGGGUGAAAAUUUGGUUAGAGAAGGGUUUUCAAAAAUGGCCUUGAUCAUAUGACAUUCACAUGCAACUCAAUCAAUCAUCAAGAUUAGGCAAUAUCAUCCAUAUUUUCCUGUGAACAAUGCAUACAACAAUAAAAACUCUAGAGCUCAAAAUCUCAAACACAUGCUUUCUCACACCAAAUUCAUUCAUGCACCCUGCCUAGCAUUAUGACCACAAUCAUAAUUUCAUCACACAUCUAUUUCCUGGAUAUCAACAUGCAUUGCAACUCAAUUCUCAUCCACAUCAAAUAAUCAUCAAAUAGAUCCAACAUGCACAUCAGUCAGGAAAACAUUAUCAGAAAAAGUAUUCAAGCCAAGAGUACACACCAAAAUAAAAAUUCAACCUAUUCUAAGAAUUUAGAAUGCAAAAGUGUAAGAAGAAAUCUAGGUUGCCUCCUAGUAGCGCUUGUUUAACGUCACGAGCCUGACCCAAACCUGUUUGGCACUUGUCAGUAAGUGCACUUCCUUCCCAACACCCAUCAGUAGGUGUACCUCCCUAUAUCCUUCAGUAGAUACCUAAAUCUUCUAGCAUCCCUCAGUAGAUGCUAUCCCAGUAGGAUUUAUCAGUAAACGCUGAUUUUUCUAAUCUUCAUUGGCAUCCAUCAGUAAAUGUCAUUUCACCUAACAUCCAUCAGUAGAUGUUAUCAUCACUGGCAUCAGAAACAGCACAACCC
rnacentral:lncRNA from 1 species